GGGGGGGGGGGGGGAGAAACAAAAUAAAAAAAAAAAUAAAAAAAAUUGAAAGAGGGGGAAAAAAGCAAAAUUGCCUCGAACAGUCGUCACGUGAAGUUUGCUUUUCCACAAUACCACAGAAAUGAUGAGAAAAGGGCGUAUGAGUUUCCGGUCAGAAGUCCCCAUUAGAUUGCAGCGAGGCGCGAAACGUUGCAGUCGAGUCGAUAAGGAAGUCCAAUCUUGUUCGCUUUGCUUGUGUCACUUCUAUCUUAUACAACUACGAUACCAUCGACAAAUUAGUGGCAGCCACUACUCGGCCCACUGCUUUCCAAUGUACGCCUGUUAAGGGAGGGGGCUAUGAGGAAUGCGUACGAAUGAGUUGUUUUCGCUGCAGUAGCAAUUACCAUACGCAGCUGAGCGAACCACCGAAACAUUUUACCUGAAUAAAAUUCUGUAUUGCAUUACAAUCAUCGUCCUUUUGUGUAAUAGUAAUAAUAAAAAAAUUUAGAUUUCUGCAAGUUAAGAGUGUUCGAGCUAAACUCAUUCGUAUCAACUACAAACUGAUCGGAGGAAAAAAACGUAACGGAUGUUUAUAUAUGUGAAAAUAUAUAUAUAAAUAUUUUCUGAAAGUGUUAAUCUAAAAAUUAGAAAACACAUUUAAAUGGGAAUUUUGUUAAAUCAAUAAAAG
rnacentral:lncRNA from 1 species